AUAGUUUAAUACGAGAGUGGUACAGUAUUCUAGUCAGUCCUCCAAUCUUGAAGGCGGGCCUAAAAAUCCGCCAAAGGGCACAUCGAUGAAGCUCCUUGUUUUGGCUUGAGGCGCCCAGCUUGGGUCUAAGCUGGGAGAAAAGGUAAAAGGGCGAUCCACAAAGGCAUGUGGGCGAUGACCCUUUUACUGUGGAGGCCCAAAAAACCGUUCAAUGUAUAUUGAGUAAGGUUUUUGGGUAUGAACCUGUAAGGCGAGUUGGGACUCGUCUGCAGCGUAGCCUGCCUUGAGUGGAGAGUGAGGGGAUUAUAGAACAAGAGAUUCGUUGUUGUCGGCCAACAAUGACGAUCUUACCUAUAUGAAAUCAUCUCUGCAAAAGAGGAUAAAAGAUUGGCACGGGAUUGCUGAGGAAAUCUCCUAGACUGUUCGCUCGACAUUUAAAGAGGAUUGCAGUGUAGACUAAGUGGUAAUCUAGUCUGGCGACUGGUGACAGCGUCAAUCUCGGUUUAAAGGGAAACCGCCAGUGCGGCGACGCAUUGGAACUGAGAUGGGAAACCCUACUGGACCUAAGCUACAGAGUUUACUCUUUAAAUGGCCACUCUCUUACAUAAUGGA
rnacentral:sRNA from 1 species